rnacentral:rRNA from 1 species
CGUCUCAGUUCAGAUUGCAGGCUGCAACUCGCCUGCAUGAAGUCGGAAUUGCUAGUAAUCGCAGAUCAGCAAAUGCUGCGGUGAAUACGUUCCCGGGCCUUGUACACACCGCCCGUCACACCAUGGGAGUCGGUAACACCCGAAGUCGGUAGCCUAACCGUAAGGAGGGCGCCGCCGAAGGUGGGAUUGAUGACUGGGGUGAAGUCGUAACAAGGUACC